UCUAUCAGUCGAGGCAGCGAACUGUACUGACAAAGCAGGAGCUCAUCCACAAGAUAAUCGAAAGUAACCCAAAGAUCGUAGACAAGGGUGAAGUCGAAGAGCAAGUGAGACUGCUGCUAGAGUUUGUUCCAGAGUGGAUCUCUGAGAAGACUGCAAGAAAUGGAGAUGUUCUCUGCUGCGUCAAUACUGAACUGAGCCAGUCUGAGGUUCGACAAAGGUUGUCCGGUGUCGAGUAGGGAGGAGCACAAAAUUGUUUCUCCUUGUUUAGAAAUGUAGCGGUGUAUCAGUGCAAGGUUGCGCCUAGAUGCUGGAAGAUGCUUAGUUGUCGAAGUUGAUGCUCAAGUUCAGACACUGCCCAGUUUAAAUUCAGUUAUCAGCGCCUUUGUUCAAGAUCAGACAAGACGCAACAACCCUUGACUCAGUGAUUGACAUGUGUAGCUGAAGUAUUCUAACAGCUGAUGAGGUUGGGCUGCCAAUUUCUUACAUAAUGUGUAUGCUCCGAGAUGUCUCUGGAUGAAAUGAUGUUUGUUAUUCUU